rnacentral:rRNA from 1 species
AUGAAGCUGGAACUGCUAGUAAUGGCAGGUCAGCAUACUGCCGUGAAUACGUUCCCGGGCCUUGUACACACCGCCCGUCACACCAUGAGAGUUGAAAUACCCGAAGCCUGUGAGCUAACAGUAAUGAGGCAGCAGUCGAAGGUAGAGCCAAUGAUUGGGGUGAAGUCGUAACAAGGUAUC